UACGUAGGUGGCGAGCGUUGUCCGGAUUUACUGGGCGUAAAGAGCACGUAGGCGGCGUGGCAAGUCUUGCGUGAAAGGUUCUGGCUCAACUGGAACAGGGCGCGGGAAACUGCCAGGCUUGAGGGCAGCAGAGGGCGGUGGAAUUCCCGGUGGAGUGGUGAAAUGCGUAGAUAUCGGGAGGAACACCAGUGGCGAAGGCGGCCGCCUGGGCUGUCCCUGACGCUGAGGUGCGAAAGCGUGGGGAGCGAACCGG
rnacentral:rRNA from 1 species